rnacentral:lncRNA from 12 species
GGGGAUUGAAGUGCUGCCAUGUCUCCUUCUGGGAUGGACCACAGGGAUCAGGAAUACUGGGGCCCCAGCAAACCAGAGAAAUCCUGAAGGCAAGAAAUGCACCUCAUUUUGUACAGAAGGACAAAACACUUCCAAAGUAUUGAUCUCUUGUUAACAGGGGAGUUGAGUUAGUC